UACGAAGGGGGCUAGCGUUGUUCGGAUUUACUGGGCGUAAAGCGCACGUAGGCGGAUCGUUAAGUCGGGGGUGAAAUCCUGGAGCUCAACUCCAGAACUGCCUUCGAUACUGGCGAUCUUGAGUCCGGAAGAGGUGAGUGGAACUCCUAGUGUAGAGGUGGAAUUCGUAGAUAUUAGGAGGAACACCAGUGGCGAAGGCGGCUCACUGGUCCGGUACUGACGCUGAGGUGCGAAAGCGUGGGGAGCGAUCCGG
rnacentral:rRNA from 1 species